rnacentral:rRNA from 1 species
UACGUAGGGGCGAGCGUUGUCCGGAAUCAUUGGGCGUAAGAGCGUGUAGGUGGACUGGAAGGUCUGGUGUGAAAGCCCGGGGCUCAACCCCGGAGGGUCACUGGAAACCAAACAGUCUUGAGUCCGGAAGAGGAGAGUGGAAUUCCGUGGUGUAGCGGUGGAAUGCGCGAGAUAUCAGGAGGAACACCAAUGGCGAAGGCAGCUCUCUGGUACGUGACUGACACUGGAGA